CCCCCCCCCCCACCGCUGCGGGAGGGGCCGGGAGCGCGCUGCGCCGAGCGCCGCUGCCGGGGCUGCGCAGGCCGGUGUCUCCAGCUGCGGCGAUGGCGGCGGCGGCCUCGCAGCGAGACCUGGGGGACUGGCAAGACUUCUCGGGCUUCCAGCCCGCCGCGGGGAGCGGCCCCGAGGCGGCCCGCGACAAGGGCGGCUGGGGAGGGGGCGAUUUGGCGGCGAAGUUAUCCCUCUGCUUCGAGCCCCCACAGGCCCGCGGCGGCGGCGGCGGCGGCGGCGAGAGCCGCGUUGCGCUGCGGCCCCUCACGGAGCAGAGCGCCCUGCAGGACGAUGAGAUUUGGAAUGCUUUGACUGAUAAUUAUGGUAAUGUAAUGCCAGUUGACUGGAAAUCUUCCCACACCAGAGCUUUGCACUUGCCAACACUGAAUCUUUCAGAAAAAGGGGUAAAUGACAACUUGAAUCUUGACCUGUCAGAUGAUGAAGAGCUGAGAGAACAGUUGGAUAUGCAUUCUAUCAUUGUUUCCUGCAUCAAUGAUGAACCACUGUUCACAGCAGAACAGGUGAUUGAAGAAAUAGAGGAGAUGAUGCAAGAAUCACCUGAUCCAGAAGAUGAUGAAACACCCACCCAAUCAGAUCGGCUCUCCAUGCUUUCCCAGGAAAUUCAGACACUCAAGAGAUCCAGCACGAACAACAGUUAUGAAGAAAGAGUAAAAAGAUUGUCUGUUGCCGAGUUAAAUGAACUGCUAGAAGAAAUUGAGACUGCCAUUAAGGAUUAUUCUGAGGAACUGGUACAGCAGUUGGCAUUACGAGAUGAGUUGGAGUUUGAGAAGGAAGUGAAAAACAGCUUCAUUUCUGUCCUCAUUGAAGUACAAAAUAAACAGAGAGAGCACAAAGAAACAGCAAAGAAGAAAAAGAAGCUGAAAAAUGGUAGUCCUCAAAAUGGCAAACAGGAAAGAGGUCAUAUGCCUGGAACGCGCUUCAGCAUGGAAGGGAUCUCAAAUGUCAUACAGAAUGGCCUCCGCCACACGUUUGGAAACUCAGGUGGAGAGAAACAGUAUCUAACAACCGUCAUUCCUUAUGAGAAGAAAAAUGGACCCCCAUCUGUUGAAGACCUUCAAACAUUAACCAAAAUCCUUCACGCCAUGAAAGAGGAUAGUGAGAAGGUGCCAAGCUUGUUAACAGACUAUAUUUUAAAAGAAAUAUGCAAGUCUAGGCUGUUUUCUGAUGAAAAGAUGGACAAAAUGACUGCAUAGAGGCAUUUUCAGCCUCAUAAAUAUUUGCCAGUUUCAACCCAACUUGGUAGAGAGGAGAGUUUGCUGUGUCCUACAUGAAGAGGACUGCCUUUUUUCAGAAUUAGCCAUGCUCCUUCCUUUGAUGAGAAGCUUUUCUGUGGAUAUAACUCCUAGUAUCUUUUUUCAUUUGGCACUAUGCCUAAGCCAGUAUGCAUUUACCUCCUCUGUUUGUGUGUGGAUAUUCUAAUCCUACAGUAAGUCUUCUGGGCAUGACAGCUCAUCCACUUAAACUCUAUAGUGCAAUGGACUGGAGCAGGGAACAAACACUGUACAGUUUUACUCACAUUGUUCUGGCUUUUUAAAGUCUAUUUUUACAUUGUAUAGCAUGUACUAAAUCCUCCUGCACAUUUUGUUGUUGGAAGGAAAAGUAAACUUUGAAUAGUGUAAAUAAAAUAAGUCUCGUUUUAAGGAAUCUAUAUUUAAAACCAUCCUUAGUUCCUAUAGGAAAAACGCAAAAAGGAUCAUAGUCAGGCUUGCACUUAAGGAUUCGGAUGAGUUCUUCAGGAAGCACUUCAGGACAGUGUUGGUGGAAAUCAAUAUUCAACACUCCUUUUAAAAUAAGAACUUAUCAACGCUUGUAUAGUUCAACCGAAAGUGAACAAAUCUGGUUUCUUUCAGUUUUUUCUUAAGUAAUCAGUGUGUUACCUAUCCUUGUUGCUUAACACAAACAUCAGAAUAAUGUAAUAUUUCUGUAUUUAUUGGUUUUGUUUUAAUAAUUAAUGUUCAUGUGGAUAACAUUCUCCCAUAUUGCUGCUAUACUUUUACUGUUCUUAUUAAGUGUUUGAUCUUAAUGAAAAAGCUUCAAUGUAUAAACAUUUUAAAAGGCUAUAUCUUUUUAAAGUUAUAUGUACAGUUUAAAAGACAUGCACCGAGGUUCCAAGUGAGUAUUAUAUAGAGACUUUGGUCAUUGUGUAUCUCUGAGUUUUACUACAGAUCUCUCCUGUAAAUUGUAUGCACUGUCUCCUCUGUGAUGAAGUAUCUGCAUUCAAACAGAUGAGAAUGUUUUUUUACAAAUCCUGUAAAACAAACCUACCCCAUAACCUCGACAUUACGUAUUUGUCACACGUCACUUUGCCAGUCUUAAGGAUUAGAUUGACAUGUAAGGAGUACUAACAGAAAUAAAGGAGUUAUCUUCUAGGUUGAACUCCUAUGUAUUCUACACCCAUCUCUACAUACUGUAUAUGUAAAAACACGGGAAGAUAAGUUUCUAAAGAGAUAAACAUAUGUCUUUUCUUCAAGCAUUUGUUUCUAUUUAAAGUCUUCAUUUUUUUUUAAUUGAGGAGGAAUUUGUUCCUGAAUAUUUUCACAGUAUCAUUUUUAGGUCUGUCUAUUAUAGCAAGCAUUCAUUUUGAUUGGUAAAACUUCUGGAAUUUAAAAUUCUUCUCCCCUUACACCAGCUCACCAUCAACACUUGCCAGCUUGACUAGGAAUAAUAAAUUUCCUGAAUAAAUGUGCCAUAUCUGAGGAGGUUUUUGUUUGCUGUAUUCUACUUUGCUAGUGGUUUAUGUAAAAAGAAAAAUGCCAUUUAUUUCUUUAGCUGAGGUGUUAUAAAAUCAUUAUGGCAUGCUUUUUGUAUAGAAAUGCUUUCUUUUGACUGUUGACGCCUGGAAAUUGAUUAAAGGAGAUAACCCAAUUUUGUUUUAUUUUUAGAAAAGGAGUGCAUGUUGUGAAACACACUUUGUCUCCAAAUCAGAUGUAUUCAGAGGUGGCCAAUCCUACUGUUGAGGCCUGAGGUAACUUAGGAUGGAGCAGGAAAAAGCAAAUUAAGGAGAGAAUUGCAGAAGCACUUACAGAAAAUUUGUGGUGUUGUAGCAAAUUGGAUGACUUAAUCACAAAAUACUGAGAGUAGUAAAACUUCAAAGAAAACUAAGCACCAAAAAAUCAAAAAGAGCUUUAGGUAGCUAAGCAUCUGUUUGUGUAUUAUGUCCUUCAUCAGACUAAACAGUAUUUUUGAAAGUACCUGUUUACCUUGUAUAUAAAACCCUGACAUUAAACAACAGUUGCCAACAGUGGCAAAUAUUUUAUACAUACAUACAUACAUACACACACACACACACACACACACACACACACACACACACACACACACACACACACACACACACACACACACCCCUAUAUAAAAGUAUAUCUGAAAACAUAUGAAUAAACAGAACCAUGUAAGUCUUAUUUUCUGAGUUCUGUGUACUUCAGAUUCUCCAUUAUGCUUCCUUUUUCCAGAUCCAUUAUUGAAUCUUGUAUUCUUCCAAGGAGCUGGAUUUCAUCAUUAUUCUGUAUUUUCAGUGUGUGAUAGCUGCAGAUGGCCACCCAAGAAUAGUUGCUGACAAGUAUACUAGAAGAGAAUUGGUAAAAAUGCAAGGAUUAUCCCUUGCUGAAAAUAAGCAUUUUCAGUAUGAAGAUUUGUGGAAGAGAAGUGUCCUUAAAAUCAGUAGAUCCUAAAUUACUUAAAGUUAGGUAUUUGUAUGUGUAGAUCACUUUCUCUAACAGCUGUUUUUUAUCCAACCCAUUUUAUGAGAUUCAGAUACUUCAUUUGAUAAGCUUAUUCAUUUGCUAGCUAGAAUUACAUUUUGAGUGAGGGUAGUGUGUCCCAGAUAGUCAAGAAUCCUAGAAGUAUACUUUCGUGUUCAGGGAAAAUGAUACUGAUAACAGUUCUCUUCUGGUGAGAGAUACUGAUCUAAUGGGACUCUCAGCUGAUAUAAAUAACCAGUGAUAAAGAAUGUCUUCUGUAAACUGUGCCAGGUGAUUGCAACCUUUAUUUUGGAGCACAGAUUUUACUGGGACCAUUCAUGUCUUUGUUGCUUCCAGGCUGGAUUACCUUGGUAUCCUUUCUGCAUGCAUGUCACUUGGAAACUGCAGCUAGUCCAGCAAAUGCCAUCCUGUGUGCUUGACAAUACUGUUGAUAAGCAAGCUCAUACCUGUGCACUGCCUCACUCAGAGUGGCUGCCUACUCAUUUUGAAGAGGGUAACUUGAGAUGCUGGUUUUAAUUCAUGAAGUUCUAAAUAGUACAGAGCCUGGGUAGCACAAAGCCUUCUUAUCUAGCUAUGGCAUUAAUGGGCAGUGGUGAUCAGCAGCUUCACUUAAAACAGCAUCUGCCCAAUUCAGUCAGGAAGGGACUAGAAGCAGAGCUUUUUAGUGAAGUAUUCUCAACUCUGUUCCACUCAAGCCCAAAUUUACUGACCAUCUGAUCGUUCUGAAAAAUGUAUCUUGUGGGUGAUGGGGCUGGAAUGAAAUAGUAACUGAAUUUGGGUAGGUUUGGAAGUAGCUUCUGAUGUGGAUAUCCAUCCUAAUUUUUAAUCGUUCAUGUGUGACUCCAAGCUACCCUGGAUAUAAAAUUUUUCCAGAAACCUUAAAAACCUCUAUCAUCAAGCAGAAAAUGAAAUCUCAAAGUGACAUGAAUCAUGAGUCUUGUGUCAGGUGAAUCUUGUGUUCUGUUUCUCUUGGGGGCAUAGGGGAGGUUAUUUUAAGCCUAAAGAGAAACUGUGAUUGUCAGAAAGGUACAUCUACCUGUUAUAAUUUUAAGAUAAUGCAAUUUAUUUUCAAAGUGUUUACAAGUUUGAUAGUAGUGAGCUAUAAGAGGGUUAUAUAAAGCACAUCCAAUGAUGGAGAGGUUAGAAUCUUCCUUGCAGAGGUUUUCUUAUCACUUAAGACUGAAUAAUUAAAAGGAAUGCUUUGGACUUUUAAAUGCUUUAUCUUUGCUGGUGAAAUGUAGUAUCUUGUUCCUUUGCUCAUAUUCUUUUUAACCUUGGCCUAACUCAGGACACUUUUCCUUUUGUUUUCAUGUAUUGAUCAGUGAUGGCUGUCAUUAGCUGAUCAGUGUCAAGUCCUAACAAUAACUAAUGAAGAAACCUUUUGAACCAGGAGAAUUACUUGGUGGUUUUUUUUGGUGGUGGGUUUUUUUUUUUUUUUUUUUUUUUUUUUUUUUUUUUUGUAGCUACAUUUUGUUUUUCUCUGUCUUGUACUCUGUAAGUGUUGAACAGAAUCCUCUCUGCACUGAAUGCUAAUUCCGAUAGAGCUCAUAGUUGUUUGUUGUUCAUUUUCAAACCAAUUUUUGUGUUCAGGCUUUUUGUUAACUUUAUGGAAUAAAGCAUUAAUGUUA